CCCUUGAUUCACACUAGGUCACAGUGUGCGCCUCUUCUACCAAUACCAGCCCUGACCAAAAGACAGUGGAGCUCCUCCUUAUCAUGGGAGUCCUUCCUACGGCAUCAGGGUGUAACCAGGGUACACAGCUACAUCACAGAAGCAUCUUUUAGCUCUUGCAGUUUAGACCCGCUUUGUGACACUUUCCAUGGUCAAUCCCCAUCCAGUACGUUUUAGAUUCUGCCUCAGAGGAAUCAUCUGAUUGACAGUGGAAGAUCUGAUGGCUGGCUGGGAACAGCUGGGAUUCUGGACAGCUAGAAAAGUGUUGGCUGCAGAUGUAGAACACCACUUCCGACACAUUCACAAGGUCUUCUUCAUAGCCAAAGUACUGGAAAAGUUGCAGAGCAAACAGGUGUCCAAGGCACAAUUUUUGUAACUAUUUAUCAGAUAUUAUUUAGACUUCAACCUUCAACUUCUGGUUACCAGUCUGACAAGCUUACAGCCUGCCUGCACAUGCCGUCUACAUACAAACCACACUCAGGAG